rnacentral:sRNA from 1 species
GCCAGGCACAGUGGCGCAUGUCUGUAAUCCCAGUAGCUUGGGAGGCUGAGGCAGGAAUCGCAAGUUCAAAGCCAGGCUCAGCAAGAGUGAGGCACUAAGAAACUCAGUGAGACCUUGUCUCUA